rnacentral:rRNA from 1 species
UACGUAGGGGGCAAGCGUUGUUCGGAAUUACUGGGCGUAAAGGGCGCGUAGGCGGCAUGGCAGGUCGGGAGUGAAAGGCCUGGGCUCAACCGAGGAACUGCUUUCGAGACUGCCAAGCUAGAGUGCGGAAGGGGCAUCUGGAAUUCCCAGUGUAGCGGUGAAAUGCGUAGAUAUUGGGAAGAACACCUGAGGCGAAGGCGGGAUGCUGGGCCGACACUGACGCUGAGGCGCGAAAGCCAGGGGAGCAAACGGG